rnacentral:rRNA from 1 species
GGAACGAACGCUGGCGGCAGGCUUAACACAUGCAAGUCGAACGCUCGUAGCAAUACGGGAGUGGCAGACGGGUGAGUAACGCGUGGGAACAUACCCUCCGGUUCGGAAUAGCUCAGGGAAACUUGGAUUAAUACCGGAUACGGCCGAGAGGCGAAAGAUUUAUCGCCGGAGGAUUGGCCCGCGUUCGAUUAGCUAGUUGGUGAGGUAACGGCUCACCAAGGCGAUGAUCGAUAGCUGGUCUGAGAGGAUGAUCAGCCACAUUGGGACUGAGACACGGCCCAAACUCCUACGGGAGGCAGCAGUGGGGAAUAUUGGACAAUGGGCGCAAGCCUGAUCCAGCCAUGCCGCGUGAGUGAUGACGGCCUUAGGGUUGUAAAGCUCUUUCGCUCGGGACGAUAAUGACGGUACCGAGAUAAGAAGCCCCGGCUAACUUCGUGCCAGCAGCCGC